CCCGGCCAAUCAGCCAUGUCACUUUGAUUGGAGGAAACCUAUAAGCAUUUCAGCAAAAAUCCAAACCCAACAAGAUAGUAAGAGCAGCAAACUGGCUUCACUCUGGGGUUUCGUCACAGCUCUGGCCUCCCCACACAUUACUGAAAGGUCCAGCGUCAGGACAUACUCAGGACAUCUCCCAGAAGCUCCAAAACAAAUUGCCUUUGGACUUUGAGACCAUGAAACCAGAGGAACCAAAUACAGUCCCUCACAGAAAGAGCCAGGAGUGUCUGAGGCAGCUCGAUGAAGCUCUAGGACUUGCUGGUGCUUUUUGGAUUUCCUGGUGGGCCAUUCGGAGUGGGAGAGAAGGUUGAAGUCAAGGAAUGAAAAUGAUCUACCAUGGACAAGUGUUUCCUCUGGUAGCAAUGUGCUAAAAAAGCAGCAGCACUGGAAACUCUACCCCGAUGUCUAGAAUGGCCUGUCACUUGAUUAAGAGCUUAGGAGACUGCACAGAGCUGGCUGAAGUUUGUUGUCAUCCAACACAGAAAUCCUGGUGUCCCCUGAAAACAGAAUUUGAAGGCUUUCCCAUUUUAAAACAAACACCUACACAACUUGGAUUUUUGAGUGUGUCCAGGUCAGGACAGGAGCAUCAGCCAGGUGGGACCUCAGCCUGCCAAGCUCUGUGUACUGCCCCAGUCUCCACAAAGCACUGCAGAACCGGCAUCAGCUCAGUCAGAAACCAUCUCUGACAAGGUUUUUCAUCAAAAACCUAGCAAAUUCUAGCCUUUGCUGGUGAGA